GCGAGUGGAUCCCUUCGGGGUGAAGCUCGUGGAACGAGCGGCGGACGGGUGAGUAACACGUGGGCAACCUGCCUGUAAGAUCGGAAUAACCCCGGGAAACCGGGGCUAAUGCCGGGUAAUACUUUUCUUCGCAUGAAGAUAAGUUGAAAGAUGGCUUCUCGCUAUCACUUACAGAUGGGCCCGCGGCGCAUUAGCUAGUUGGUGAGGUAACGGCUCACCAAGGCAACGAUGCGUAGCCGACCUGAGAGGGUGAUCGGCCACACUGGGACUGAGACACGGCCCAGACUCCUACGGGAGGCAGCAGUAGGGAAUCUUCCGCAAUGGACGAAAGUCUGACGGAGCAACGCCGCGUGAACGAUGAAGGUCUUCGGAUCGUAAAGUUCUGUUGUCAGGGAAGAACAAGUACCGUGCGAAUAGAGCGGUACCUUGACGGUACCUGACGAGGAAGCCCCGGCUAACUACGUGCCAGCAGCCGCGGUAAUACGUAGGGGGCAAGCGUUGUCCGGAAUUAUUGGGCGUAAAGCGCGCGCAGGCGGUUCCUUAAGUCUGAUGUGAAAGCCCACGGCUCAACCGUGGAGGGUCAUUGGAAACUGGGGAACUUGAGGACAGAAGAGGAGAGUGGAAUUCCACGUGUAGCGGUGAAAUGCGUAGAUAUGUGGAGGAACACCAGUGGCGAAGGCGACUCUCUGGUCUGUUUCUGACGCUGAGGUGCGAAAGCGUGGGUAGCAAACAGGAUUAGAUACCCUGGUAGUCCACGCCG
rnacentral:rRNA from 1 species